AUUUAUAUUUAUAUGUUUAAAAAUACGUCUUCGUGACAGACGCAACUACUUAUUCAUAUAGCUGACUAAAUUUCCUCAAAUUUAAGGCUCUUUCACAACAUAAGCAAAGUACAAUGUACAUAUAAUAUCUGGAUUUUCUUAUAUCAUACACAGUGAAGCGUUUCCAAUGAUAGUUCAGGCAAUUUAUUUUAUCUGUUUACAUGCAUCUCGUAGCGUUAAGCUGGUGUCACACAUUCACGAUUUUU
rnacentral:lncRNA from 1 species